UACGUAGGGUGCGAGCGUUUGUCCGGAAUUAUUGGGCGUAAAGGGCUCGUAGGCGGUCUGUCGCGUCUGCUGUGAAAACUCGGGGCUUAACCCCGGGCCUGCAGUGGGUACGGGCAGACUAGAGUGCGGUAGGGGAGACUGGAAUUCCUGGUGUAGCGGUGAAAUGCGCAGAUAUCAGGAGGAACACCGGUGGCGAAGGCGGGUCUCUGGGCCGUAACUGACGCUGAGGAGCGAAAGCGUGGGGAGCGAACAGG
rnacentral:rRNA from 1 species